rnacentral:rRNA from 1 species
GACGAACGCUGGCGGUGUGCUUAACACAUGCAAGUCGAACGGUAAGGCCCUUUCGGGGGUACACGAGUGGCGAACGGGUGAGUAACACGUGAGUAACCUGCCCUCAUCUCUGGGAUAACAGUCGGAAACGGUUGCUAAUACUGGAUAUGAGCCUGCAAGGCAUCUUGUGGGUUGGAAAGAUUUUUUGGUUGGGGAUGGACUCGCGGCCUAUCAGCUUGUUGGUGAGGUAGUGGCUCACCAAGGCUUCGACGGGUAGCCGGCCUGAGAGGGCGACCGGCCACAUUGGGACUGAGAUACGGCCCAAACUCCUACGGGAGGCAGCAGUGGGGAAUAUUGCACAAUGGACGGAAGUCUGAUGCAGCAACGCCGCGUGCGGGAUGACGGCCUUCGGGUUGUAAACCGCUUUCAAUUGUGACGAAGCUUUUUGUGACGGUAGCAGGAGAAGAAGCACCGGCUAACUACGUG